rnacentral:rRNA from 1 species
CCGUUGACAUCCAGAGAACUUAGCAGAGAUGCUUUGGUGCCUUCGGGAACUCUGAGACAGGUGCUGCAUGGCUGUCGUCAGCUCGUGUUGUGAAAUGUUGGGUUAAGUCCGCAACGAGCGCAACCCUUAUCCUUUGUUGCCAGCGGUUCGGCCGGGAACUCAAAGGAGACUGCCGGUGAUAAACCGGAGGAAGGUGGGGAUGACGUCAAGUCAUCAUGGCCCUUACGGCCAGGGCUACACACGUGCUACAAUGGCGCAUACAAAGAGAAGCGACCUCGCGAGAGCAAGCGGACCUCAUAAAGUGCGUCGUAGUCCGGAUUGGAGUCUGCAACUCGACUCCAUGAAGUCGGAAUCGCUAGUAAUCGUAGAUCAGAAUGCUACGGUGAAUACGUUCCCGGGCCUUGUACACACCGCCCGUCACACCAUGGGAGUGGGUUGCAAAAGAAGUAGGUAGCUUAACCUUCGGGAGGGCGCUUACCACUUUGUGAUUCAUGACUGGGGUGAAGUCGUAACAAGGUAGGCGUACGUGU